UAUAGCGAAGAGAAGAAUCAACGUUGCAAACGAGCGAUUAAGCGAUGGGAUUACUACCAUGAGUACACAAAGCCAUUUGCGUUGAGUGUCUACUAGAGGCCAACAACUCACGGAUUUGAUGGAAGAAGAAGAGUCAGCCGCUCCUGUGUUGUGCUGUUUGAACUCUCAAUCUGGCGGCACCCAUUCACUGCAGAGGAUCCAUUGGAGGGCAAGUGAUAUAAUGCUAAAUUUCUACAAAUCUGUUGUGUUGAAGAGACAAGCUCAUCUACAAUCUGGACAGCUUGCAAGAGAUCAACAACGGUGUUGGGAGCACAGAUGAGCUCUCCGCAUCCACAGGGAACGGACUGGGUGCGCAUGCACGCGAUGACAUCAUGACACCCGCACGUCACGCAACGAAACUUUAGUGACGACUUGAAUUCAUUUUAUGGAGCUCAAAAUAAUUAAUUUAGACCGAGUUGCUUUUUGAACAUUCAUCUCCAAUGGGUCUUUAUUUUGGACUGUUUUCGUUGGUUCUCGGACACUCUGGCACUGUAUUCCACUGAUUCAGUGUUCUGCUUUGAUGCCUUUCAUACUGAUAUAUUUUUUUCUGUAUUGAACCGUAUUUAAAAUGGAGCCGAGUUAUUGUGAAGUUUAGGUACUAAAAGUGUUCUAUUAUUAAUGUUUCUGAAGAAUCGAUCUGAAGAUGAAUGGAUUUAAUGUUAAAGCAUGCAGAAAUCAGAUUCAGAGAUUCAGAGCCCUUGUAAAGCUUGACUGUAGGCUGAUAUGAUUAUUUAUUU